rnacentral:lncRNA from 1 species
GGCCUUUCUAGGAGCCAGCUUGCUUUCAUCUUACUGUUUUGAUUGUGCCUCACAAGGGACAACACUCCGAUUGUCUAGGAGGAGGAAGGUCAGGGACAGAAAAGUAAAAGCCAGGAGCAGCCUGUCCUGUCUGCCUGGGCUGCUGGGGAAUGAUUGUCAGUGAAUCGAGUUGUCUGUGGAGCCCCUGAGCAAAUUCUCCCAGUGGCAGCAGAUCUCGCAAAAGGGGAGGAAGGCCUUCACCGCUGAACCCGAGCUUUGCCAUUUCGAAGUGCUGAGUCACCUCGUCCUCUCAGGGUCAGACACUUUCACGCAGGAAACGUCCUGCAGAGCACCGCAGCGGGAGCACCGAGCUGGGUGGUAAUUUAUUCUAGAACCGAUGUGCCAGCGUUUCCUUCUGUGUGCUUUGAGUAGGAGCAGGAACAACGGAUCUCUCCAAGCAUGGGCAGACGGAGAGCUGCAACCCUUGGACCAACCAACGCCUGCCAGUGGGCGCCUGCAUCCCACGCCUGCAUCCCGCGUGCAGGCUACUGGCAGGUGCUCUGUGUCUCACUCCAUCUUUACCUGCCCUGUAAAGGAGGAACUGUUGUUUUUAGUCUCCUGGAGCAGCCGCGCCUUCCCACAGCACUCAGACUUGAGGAAGCUUAAGAAGCUGAGACCAGAGAGGGCGAUGUCCACCUUGGUGACGAAGCACUCUAGAGGCUGCCGCCACACUUAAAAAGUGACCAGUCACCAACAACUCAUCUUAAGUACAGGAAGAAUGCCAGCAGCUGAAUGAAAUUCUUGCUUUCCCUGGUGAACAACGAAGGGGAAGGGAAUGGAGUGUGGUGAAAGAGAGGGCAGAAAGGCUGCCAGUGUCCUCUUCAUCCCUGCCCCACCCCCACCCCCACCCCCCAGCACAGAGAGACCCGGGAAGAUUUCAAAUCUUUCCUUUAAGUGGCGGCUAAGGACAAAAUGAAAUGACUUAGCCACCUAUCAUGGUCUUUACUGAGUUAUAUCCAUGGAUAUAAGAUAAUUUGGCAUCUAAAAAACAAAGACAGGGCCAGUAAAAUGGCUCACUGGGUAAAGGUGCCCGCUGCCAAGCCAGAGCACCUGGGUUUGGUCCUUGGAACUCACACGGUGGGGAGAACAGAUCCCUUCAUGCUGUGUGCUGAUGCCCACAUGCAUGUUAGGAAAACACUUCCAGCCCCCUAAACUAACUUUUUCUAUUCCGUACUCUGCCUGUGACUAGACCUGGAAGGAGAGAACAAGGGCCUUCCUGAGGCAGGACAAGGACCCAGAACUACCCAGAAUGCAGCAGGGCGGCCCCGCACGACUGAGCUCUGAUCCUAACCUGCAAAGUGAAGUUUCAAUUUCCACUUCCUGAGAAGGUCAGGUGUAUAGGUGUGAACCAAGUGCACGUCUAGUUCCCUUGGAGGCCAGAAAGAAGGCGGUGUCAGAUCCCCAGGAACCAUAGUUACAGAUGGUUGAUGUGGAAACUCAGAGAGGAUGCCACUGUUUUGAACUAUUUUGAAGGCACAGCCACCAGAGCUUUAGGGACAGGGUAUUUUAUCACAGCAACAGAAAUGAAACCAAAACAACUCCACAAUAAAAUUCUUGAGUUUCUUGGGGCCAAGAAGAUGACACGAUAAGAUAAAGACACUGGCCAAGCAUGACCUCCAGAGUUUGGCCCUUGCAUAAAGGAGAAAAUUAAUUCCUUCAGUUGUUCUCUGACCUCCACAUGCGUCCUGUAACAUGGGUGUAUGCAUACACAUAAACACACAUCCACACGUUGUUAAAUAAAUAAAAAAAAUAUGUUAACA